rnacentral:rRNA from 1 species
UUGAACGCUGGCGGCAUGCCUUACACAUGCAAGUCGAACGGCAGCAUGGAAGAGCUUGCUCUUCUGAUGGCGAGUGGCGAACGGGUGAGUAAAGCAUCGGAACGUACCGUGUAGCGGGGGAUAACUACUCGAAAGAGUAGCUAAUACCGCAUACGCCCUACGGGGAAAGGGGGGGAUCGCAAGACCUCUCACUAUUGGAGCGGCCGAUAUCGGAUUAGCUAGUUGGUGAGGUAAAGGCUCACCAAGCCAACGAUCUGUAGCUGGUCUGAGAGGACGACCAGCCACACUGGAACUGAGACACGGUCCAGACUCCUACGGGAGGCAGCAGUGGGGAAUUUUGGACAAUGGACGCAAGUCUGAUCCAGCCAUUCCGCGUGCAGGACGAAGGCCUUCGGGUUGUAAACUGCUUUUGUACAGAACGAAAAGGUCUCUAUUAAUACUAGGGGCUCAUGACGGUACUGUAAGAAUAAGCACCGGCUAACUACGUG